rnacentral:rRNA from 1 species
AGCGAACGCUGGCGGCAGGCCUAACACAUGCAAGUCGAACGGAUCCUUCGGGAUUAGUGGCGGACGGGUGAGUAACACGUGGGAACGUGCCCUUUGGUUCGGAACAACUCAGGGAAACUUGAGCUAAUACCGGAUGUGCCCUUCGGGGGAAAGAUUUAUCGCCAUUGGAGCGGCCCGCGUCUGAUUAGCUAGUUGGUGAGGUAACGGCCCACCAAGGCGACGAUCAGUAGCUGGUCUGAGAGGAUGAUCAGCCACACUGGGACUGAGGCACGGCCCAGACUCCUACGGGAGGCAGCAGUGGGGAAUCUUGCGCAAUGGGCGAAAGCCUGACGCAGCCAUGCCGCGUGAAUGAUGAAGGCCUUAGGAUUGUAAAAUUCUUUCAGCGGGGACGAUAAUGACGGUACCCGCAGAAGAAGCUCCGGCUAACUUCGUG